GGGGGUGUGGUGGUUUGAGCAUGGCGCGCUGUUGCCUUGUGAUGUACUGAUGCAUGUGUUCUCUUUCCAUGAUUGUGGAUGAGUUAGCGGCAUGGAAUGGUAGUAACUUUUAUGGGAAAUGGCCAUGGAUCAGACAAUCACAAUGGAAUUCUUCAAUAGAUGUUUAUAAAGCAAAUCAAACUAAAUCUACUCAUAUUGUUGGUGAUAGAAUUAUCGGGGUCAAUUUUGAUUGUGGCUGCAUCAUUUUUAAUGCAUUUCCAUAGAAUACAAAGCAUUAUUGAUUCUAUUAAGUUUCAUUUCUUUACAUGUGGCACUAACAUCGAUGCUUGUAAUUAGCUAAUAGCUUGGUGCAUUAGGUAUUUGAUAGGAGGACAAAGAGACUAGUGGAGGAGUUAAUUGAUGG
rnacentral:misc_RNA from 1 species